rnacentral:rRNA from 1 species
UUAAAGGAAUUGACGGAAGGGCACCACCAGGAGUGGAGCCUGCGGCUUAAUUUGACUCAACACGGGGAACCUCACCAGGCCAAGACACCCGAAGGAUUGACAGAUUGAGAGCUCUUUCUUGAUUGGGUGGGUGGUGGUGCAUGGCCGUUCAUAGUUGGUGGAUCGAUUUGUCUGCUUAAUUGCGAUAACGAACGAGAUUCUAGCCUGCUAACUAGUCGAUACCGGCAUCCUUGGUGCAGCCGGCGACCACAAAUCUUCUUAGAGGGACAGGCGGCAUUUAGCCGCACGAGAAUGAGCAAUAACAGGUCUGUGAUGCCCUUAGAUGCUCUGGGCCGCACGCGCGCUACACUGAAGGGAGCAGCGUGUCUUUUCCUUACCCGAGAGGGCCGGGUAACCCGCUGAACCCCCUUCGUGCUAGGGAUUGGGGCUUGCAAUUGUUCCCCACUAACGAGGAAUUCCCAGUAAGCGCGAGUCAUCAGCUCGCGUUGAUUAAGUCCCUGCCCUUUGUACACACCGCCCGUCGCUACUACCGAUUGAAUUAUUUAGUGAGGUCUUCGGACCAGGGCGCGGCCUCCUCGCGGUCGCCGAUGCCCCGGAAAGAUGACCGAACUUGAUUAUUUANAGGAAGUAAAAGUCGUAACAAGGUUACC